UUUACGUCCCCUGCCCUUUGUACACACCGCCCGUCGCUACUACCGAUUGAAUGGCUCAGUGAGGCGUUCGGACUGGCCCAGGGAGGUCGGCAACGACCACCCAGGGCCGGAAAGUUCGUCAAACUUGGUCAUUUAGAGGAAGUAAAAGUCGUAACAAGGUCUCCGUAGGUGAACCUGCGGAGGGAUCAUUACCGAGUGAGGGCCUCCGGGUCCGACCUCCCACCCCAUGUUACUCCGACCCUGUUGCCUCGGGGGUGACCCGGCCUUCGGGCGCGCGGGCCCCCGGCGGACCACUCAAAAACACUGCAUCUUCGCGUCCGAGUAGAUAUUGAAUCAAUCAAAACUUUCAACAACGGAUCUCUUGGUUCUGGCAUCGAUGAAGAACGCAGCGAAAUGCGAUAAGUAAUGUGAAUUGCAGAAUUCAGUGAAUCAUCGAAUCUUUGAACGCACAUUGCGCCCUUUGGUAUUCCGAAGGGCAUGCCUGUUCGAGCGUCAUUUCACCACUCAAGCCUGGCUUGGUAUUGGGCGCCGCGGUCCUCCGCGCGCCCCAAUGUCUUCGGCCGAGCCGUCCGUCUCUAAGCGUUGUGGCAUUUUCAUUCGCUUGCGAGGCCGGGUGCGUUCGCGCCGUCAAAACUUCAUACAAAGGUUGACCUCGGAUCAGGUAGGGAUACCCGCUGAACUUAAGC
rnacentral:rRNA from 1 species